rnacentral:ribozyme from 1 species
AAGAAGAGAAGAAAAGAAGAACAAAAAGAGGUAGCCAUUCUAGACCCCUCCCUUACAUUCUAACUCUCCUUUUUUUUUUUUUUUUUUUUUU